rnacentral:rRNA from 1 species
CCUACGGGUGGCAGCAGUGGGGAAUAUUGCACAAUGGGCGAAAGCCUGAUGCAGCAACGCCGCGUGAAGGAAGAAGGGUUUCGGCUCGUAAACUUCUAUCAACAGGGACGAAAGAAAUGACGGUACCUGAAUUAGAAGUCUCGGCUAACUACGUGCCAGCAGCCGCGGUAAUACGGAGGCGGCAAGCGUUAUCCGGAAUUACUGGGUGUAAAGGGUGAGUAGGCGGCAUGGUAAGCCAGAUGUGAAAGCCUUGGGCUUAACCCGAAGAUUGCAUUUGGAACUAGCAAGCUAGAGGACAGGUGAGGAAAGCGGAAUUCGUGGUGUAGCGGUGAAAUGCGUAGAUAUUAGGAAGAACACCGGUGGCGAAGGCGGCUUUCUGGACUGAAACUGACGCUGAGGCACGAAAGCGUGGGGAGCGAACAGGAUUAGAUACCCGGGUAGUC